CGGACGGGUGAGUAAUGUCUGGGAAACUGCCUGAUGGAGGGGGGAUAACUACUGGAAACGGUAGCUAAUACCGCAUAACGUCGCAAGACCAAAGAGGGGGACCUUCGGGCCUCUUGCCAUCGGAUGUGCCCAGAUGGGAUUAGCUAGUAGGUGGGGUAACGGCUCACCUAGGCGACGAUCCCUGGCUGGUCUGAGAGGAUGACCAGCCACACUGGAACUGAGACACGGUCCAGACUCCUACGGGAGGCAGCAUG
rnacentral:rRNA from 1 species